GUAGUCCUUGCCGUAAACGAUGUAUACUUGGUGUAGUUGGAUUCAACCCUAACUGUGCCGUAGCUAACGCGUUAAGUAUACCGCCUGGGAAGUACAGUCGCAAGGCUGAAACUCAAAAGAAUUGACGGGGACCCGCACAAGCAGUGGAGCAUGUGGUUUAAUUCGAUGCAACGCGAAGAACCUUACCCAGGCUUGACAUGCAGAUGACCGCUCUAGAAAUAGAGCUUUCCUUCGGGACAUCUGCACAGGUGCUGCAUGGCUGUCGUCAGCUCGUGCCGUGAGGUGUUGGGUUAAGUCCCGCAACGAGCGCAACCCUUAUCAUUAGUUGCCAACAGGUGAAGCUGGGAACUCUAAUGAGACUGCCUGGGUUAACCAGGA
rnacentral:rRNA from 1 species